UCCUGGGUGAUGCGGUUUUUACUGUUGU
rnacentral:sRNA from 1 species